rnacentral:rRNA from 1 species
GACAGAGGAUGCAAGCGUUAUCCGGAAUGAUUGGCGUAAGCGUCUGUGAGGUGGCUUUUAAGUCCGCCGUCAAAUCCCAGGGCUCAACCCUGGACAGGCGGUGGAAACUACCAAGCUGGAGUACGGUAGGGCAGAGGGAAUUUCCGGUGGAGCGGGUGAAAUGCGUAGAGAUCGGAAAAGACACCAACGGCGAAAGACUCUGCUGGGCCGACACUGGACACUGAGAGACGAAAGCU